rnacentral:tRNA from 1 species
GGAUGGCUCAGUGGUUAAGAGCACUGGCUGCUCUUCCAGAGGUCCUGAGUUCAAAUCCCAGCAACCA